CACGUAGGCGGACUGUUUAGUCAGAGGUGAAAUCCCGGGGCUCAACCUCGGAAUUGCCUUUGAUACUGACAGUCUUGAGUCCGAGAGAGGUGAGUGGAAUUCCGAGUGUAGAGGUGAAAUUCGUAGAUAUUCGGAGGAACACCAGCGGCGAAGGCGGCUCACUGGCUCGGUACUGACGCUGAGGUGCGAAAGCGUGGGGAGCAAACA
rnacentral:rRNA from 1 species